GACCUGGCUGGGCGGUCUUGCCGAAAGGUAAGCACUGCUCUGGUCGGGUCUUUCCUUCUGGGGAACUUGCGUGCUCUUAACUGAGUGCGCAAGGGAUCCAGGACUUUUACUUUGAAAAAAUUAGAGUGUUUAAAGCAGGCCUUUGCUUGAAUACAUUAGCAUGGAAUAAUAGAAUAGGAC
rnacentral:rRNA from 1 species